UUUUUUUUUCCUUCCGUCAACUACAGUAGCUCCUCCUUCCCCAAAAUUCUAAAUCAGAGAGAGUUCACCCUUUACUUUUGUCGAGAGAAAACUACAGUAGAGUAGCUUCUUCCCCAAAAUUCUCUGCUCUGAUUUGAACCAUAGAGUUAACGCAGAGGUUGGGGUUUCGAAAACUGAUAGAUGGAUGGGUGGGUUUACGGUUUCUAAAAUUGAGAGACGGAGUGGUGUGAUUGCUAUGAAAAUGCAUGCUUCGAUUUGAGAAACGACGUUGAGCUAGUGAGAUCCUAUUCUGAAAGCAGCUUUUGAGACCAUGAGGUCCUCUGCAUAUCGUUCAAAAGCAUGAACCUCACUUUUGAAAGAUGUGAUCCUGCUCUGCUUAGGUGCAUUGUGAUUCCUCCGGGUAAUGAACUUUCUGAGUCUUCCUCAGUAGCUCACUCCUACUUUAAAAGGGGACAUCAACACUAAAGAUUCAGGAAGCAGUCAAAGAAGGUGUGGUCAAACACGAGAUAUUGAGCAAGAGAUGUGCUGGUUGAAAUACAUUUAUCAAUUUAUUUUUAGAUUUUGUAUUUGAGAGAUGUAUGUCUUGUGAAUUUGUUGGGAAUUUUGAUACCUAUAUAGUUUUUGGAAUGAUAUAUGAUACACAUUGUAUUGGGUAUCAUGAUUUUAUCUUAA